rnacentral:rRNA from 1 species
GUGGGGAAUCUUCGGCAAUGGGGGGAACCCUGACCGAGCAACGCCGCGUGAGUGAAGAAGGUUUUCGGAUCGUAAAGCUCUGUUGUAAGAGAAGAACGUGUGUGAGAGUGGAAAGUUCACACAGUGACGGUAACUUACCAGAAAGGGACGGCUAACUACGUGCCAGCAGCCGCGGUAAUACGUAGGUCCCGAGCGUUGUCCGGAUUUAUUGGGCGUAAAGCGAGCGCAGGCGGUUUGAUAAGUCUGAAGUAAAAGGCUGUGGCUUAACCAUAGUAUGCUUUGGCAACUGUCAAACUUGAGUGCAGAAGGGGAGAGUGGAAUUCCAUGUGUAGCGGUGAAAUGCGUAGAUAUAUGGAGGAACACCGGUGGCGAAAGCGGCUCUCUGGUCUGUAACUGACGCUGAGGCUCGAAAGCGUGGGGAGCAAACAGGAUUAGAUACCCUUGUAGUCC